rnacentral:rRNA from 1 species
UACGUAGGUCGCAAGCGUUGUCCGGAUUUACUGGGCGUAAAGAGCGCGCAGGCGGCUGGUCAAGUCCGAUGUGAAAUCUCCCGGCUCAACUGGGAAACUGCAUCGGAAACUGAUCGGCUUGAAGGUGGGAGAGGGUAGUGGAAUUCCCGGUGUAGUGGUGAAAUGCGUAGAUAUCGGGAGGAACACCAAUGGCGAAGGCAGAUCUCUGGGCCGUAACUGACGCUGAGGAGCGAAAGCAUGGGGAGCGAACAGG